AAGCACAUGUGUCAUUUCUUUUGGGCUUCACUUUGGAUCCUUUUUCUUUUUUUACAAACAAUGGAUGGUUAAAACCUAAGAGACUGAUUGAUAUUUGUUUUAAAUCCAGUGGUUACGUCCUGUAAACUUUUGAGUUUUUGAGUUGUAUCAAUUUCUUUUCCUGGCCUAACUUGGCUAAAUUUAUGCUAUAUAAUUGAAUUCUACAAAUUUUGGCUAUGUAUGAUGUAAAGGUCAUAAGUCUUGU
rnacentral:lncRNA from 1 species